rnacentral:rRNA from 1 species
CACGUAGGGGGCAAGCGUUGUCCGGAAUUACUGGGCGUAAAGCGCACGUAGGCGGAUUUGUAAGUCAGGGGUGAAAUCCCGGGGCUCAACCUCGGAACUGCCUUUGAUACUGCAAAUCUCGAGUCCGGAAGAGGUGAGUGGAAUUCCUGGUGGUAGCGGUGAAAUGCGCAGAUAUCAGGAGGAACACCGAUGGCGAAGGCAGGUCUCUGGGCAUUAACUGACGCUGAGGAGCGAAAGCAUGGGGAGCGAACAGG